GUGUUCUUAAAGAAAAAACUGAAAUUUCCAAAAACAUGAAGAAAACAAGCCUCACCGCAGCUUCCAUGGCCGCAGCCUCCGCUGCUGCUCUCUCCUCUGCUUCAUCCAAAGCCCAUACCUUUCACACGAGUGAUGAUGGUACCGGGAAGAAGACUGGAAAAUCAUCAUCGACAGCAGCAGUGCCACCCCGGUCUGAUAAGUUUGCCCCGAGGUUUGAUGGAUUGAGGUUCAUAGAGACACUGGUCACUGCUCACAGAUAAAGCUUCAUCAAUUCAUCAGAUGAAUCUGUCCUAUUUUUUCCACAAAAAAAAGUGUGAACAGUUUCCUAAUUAGUUCACGAGGAGGAAUCAGAACUGUAUGGUUUUGUUGUUAUCUUUAAGCUGGUCAUCACCUUUUUCAUCUUGCUUUUUUGAUGGGAUUUUUUCUUUUGGACUAGUUCAAAGUAACCGUAGAAUCUCUAAGUGCAAUUGGUAGUCAGCAAAAUAUCACGUCAGCUUGUUGUGAUUUCUAAGGCUCUAAGCUCAUUAUUCACAUUAAUGAAAAUUUACUUAAGAGGUCA